rnacentral:lncRNA from 1 species
GAGAUCAUUUGCAUUCUCCACUCUCAACAAGGGAUGAAGACUAUUUUAAAAGAAGCCUGUAACAGCCAUAGCAAUAGACAGUACUUUCUGGGAUAGCAGUAUCUGCAGAAAACUGCACAGUGGUUCAGCAUCUAUGAAUAACAGAGCCCUUCCCUCUGCGGGAUUCACAAUUUUCCCCUCAGCCCCACCAAAGCUAACUGAAAUGGACAGCACAAACCAUUGAAGCUCUUCUUUUCAGAGAAAGAAGAAAAACAACAAGAGAAACAUUUAUAUGACACACUAUUUAACAAAAGACAACAAACAACAAACCUCCAACUUCAGAUACUGCAGAAAACCAUCAUCCUGUGACCAAGAACUGCAGAAUGCCUGAGCAAACUUAAAAGAAACUCUUUCAGUUUCCUUGCUGGAUCAUCUUCAGCUAUCUUGCCUCUCCAGAACUCUCCAGAAUUUGUGGCACUUGGAGGAUGCACUGAAAAGCAUUGCAUCUUUCUGACUCCCAGGGAAGCCGUGCAACUUCAGAGAGAGUGUUGGUACAAGAUGGGUUUGCAAGGGCACUUCACAUCCUUCCUCUGCCAUGCUGAGACGGAGAGCUGACCUCACAAUUUCACAUUAUAUUCAGAGCUUAUACCAAAUAGGUUUAACUUCUUUCUUGUUUGGUUGGUUUUGGCCUCAGUCUGGAUAGUCUGGAAAUGGCCAUACAAGUUAGAAAUGUAUCAUUUCUGUUUGAACCAAGUGAAUGAAGUUUUCAACAGUUUUCCAGGUCAGAUAAACGGAUGACUGUUGUGUCAGUGUUACCACCUCAGCAUCAGAGGGUUAUUCACACCACUUACAUUAGCCAGACAGCUCAGCCAAAAAUCAGGUUGGCUAGGACCACUCUGGAGCACACUGGCAGGGGAAAAGCAGCUCUAGGAAGAAGAAUCCUCAGGACAGUGUAGGAGCACCACACAUGUAAGAAGCUCUGGAAAAUCCCAGCAGACUGGAGAGGAACCCUUUGACUGCAGGAUUUUAUUACUUAAGACACCACAAAACAGCACCAACCAAGGGACAGGACUUCCAGUUGAUGAAUGGGUAAGACAGUGAAGCUAGCAUUCCACAACAAAGAUUGUGGCCACAGUUUAAGAAAGUUUCUGAUUUAGUUUCUUCUACAAAGGACACCAACAUGUUUCAUCCUGGUGAUUCUAAGAACUUGUUUUUCUUUGCUAAAUUUUUCCACCACUGAGCCUUGUUAUUAUUCUGCGAAGUAACAACAGAUUACUUCAGAGCAGAAGAGAUUUAUGCAUUUAUACAUCACAGAAAUGCCUGAAUGCUAACUGCCUGCACUUCCGAGAUAAAAGCUGGGGUGCUCUGCCUGCUGGUGCACUGACCUAAAUGCAGACACAUACAGAAUCACACAACCUGUUUACCAUCUAGAUGUCCUAUGCUUUCUGUAGGCAUGGCAUUGCUCCUGUAGGCUUCACCACAGAGACGAGGCGGAGAAGGAAAGCACCUUGAGAUGUUCCAUGGCAGGAGAAGCUGUAUCGCAAUACCACUCUUAUUGGAUGCUUGUUUUCCCUGCUCUAGAAGGCAGUUCUAAAAGGAGGGCUCCCCAGCUUCACAGACAUUCUUGUCAUGUUCCUAGCUAUCCUACUGUGACUUCUUGAUUUCUAAUUUUCUCUGCAGUUUACGACCAAUACUUCAUGUUUUGUUCACCACAGAUACAGAGAUCAUUUCCUCCUCUUUCCACUUGAAAAAUGUUAUCCUGUCCCUUAAGUCUGCUCUCCUUUUAUCGUCUUAAACUAUUUCCUUAGUUCACAUUUACUAGAUAUCACCACCUUGCUAUAUUCAUAGAAUCAUAGAAUUAUAGAAUGGUUUAGGUUGGAGGGGACCUUAAAGAUCAUCUAGUUCCAUCCAUGCCAUGGGCAGGGUUGCCAACCACUAGAUCAGGCUACCCAGGAACUCAUCUUGGGAUACUCCAUCCUCUCCAAGUGAUCUCUGGCUUUUUUAAAGUGCAAUGCCUGAUACUGGAUAUGAAAUAGGUUUACCAGCAGAAGGAUUAUUUAAUGUCUUUGUCGUUUACACAUUCAUCUGAGGACGGACUUUCUCCGUUUCACAACAGGCUGAUAUUGCUCACACGUGCUUAGUUCAUGAUUCAACAUAGUUCCUAGAUCCUUUCUGAAAGAAAUAAAAGUUUUUCAUCCUAUAUUUAAUAAAUCAUUUUUUCCAACUGCUAUGCAUGAUGCUCUAUGGAAGUCCAUACUAUUUUUAGGAAAUGUCUCCAAUUUGUAAAAAUCAUAUUAAUUCCAGCUCUUUCCCCUGUUGUGCUUGCAGCCUUUCUCAGACUUCUUUUAUCUUCAGAUUUACCAAACCUCCCAUGAACCAGCUCAUUAAAAAGAGCAUUAGAUGAAGCUGCAUGGAGAACAGACACUCGUGCGCUACUCACAGGCAGAGAUUUUCUUAUCAUAACUUAAUAAUAUAUAUUUUGAAAUUCCUGUCCCCCUUUUGACACCAACAACCACUUCUCUGAGCUGUGAGCUACCAAUUCACCUACACAGAGGCUGUAAUAAAAUCCUAGAAAGCAUUUCCUAAUUGAUACCUCUGAGCUUCAGCCAGGCACAUGAAUCUGAGAUCUUAAAUUAUCUUAAUUCAUAUCAGUGUGGAUUCACACCUCAUGUUAAUACUAGAGAAUUUGUGUCCCUUCCAGAUAACAGAAAUGUUUGAAAAGCCAGAGCCUUUCUUUCUGGUGCUCUGCAUCUCCUUGCUGAAGGUAACUAUUGCAAACACGGUGCAUUUACAGUAUAUUAUUUAUCUUUCAUUUAUGUGACUGGUACAGGCUUGGUUUUUCUCUGCUGAACUCCUUAAGAUUUGAAUCCCCUCCUUCAACACAGCAGAGUGGUAUGUCAGCAGCCUUCAAUGCACAGGCAGUGUGCUCUGAUGAGCUGGGAGCCAGAAACUCCCUAAUUCCAAACCCAACUUCACCAUGCAGACAAUUGCAUAGAUCUAGAGAGGUGUUUUAGCUCCCUCCCUUGCCUUCCUACCAGCCAGCACUAAACCAACAGAACAGUGAUGUUUACCAUGUUUUCAGUCUAAGUCGAAAAUGAAUACCCUCAGUGACUUGCACCCAGCUAAAAUCUCUUAACUACAAUUCCUCUUUCAUAUUUUCAAGCAUAUUUGCAAACAGCAUCUUGGAAAUAGGCUACCAGAUCUUCAGUUGGUGCAACCGGGAGGUUCCACAGAUGGCCAGGAGAACAGUUCAUGAAGGCAUUAUGUUAUUAAACUAUCUGGUUUUGUAAAUCCAAUUUGACAAGAGCUAUUAUAAAAUCAGUUUCUGCGCCCUUGAGCUUUACUGCAAAAUACCUGCAUUUAGUCUUCUUUUUUUUCUACUGAGGAUACAAAUUUUUUAGAAGCUGAAUCUCUUAAUGGAAUUGAUGUAUCAGGGAAGAGCAGGAGGAUUUCUUAAACAAAACAAAAAGUAAACAUAUGGAAGGGAAGCAGAAGAAGGGAAGCAUAGCUUCACUACAUAGAGUCUUUCUGUGUAAUAAAAUACUAAAGAAAUACUGUGAGAAAUCAACCACAGGAAAAUUAGGAGCUACAAAACUGGAGAUAAAGCAGAAUUGGAAGUAAAAGAAGCAGAGCAGGAAUACAAUCUGGAAGGUCAAUUGAUAAAAUAUGUAGCAAGCACUGAACCAACACCAAUCAAUACCACUCAGUAUGAGCCGAAUAACAGCCUAAUAACCACAUCACAUCCACUUUAUGGUACUAUCUAUCACAGCAACAGCAGGAGGUUGUGGCAAUUCCACUUUCUGCACACUCGGAUGGACUAGCCUCACCCAGACCUCCCAGUGUCUCUUCAUGCCACCAUGAAGGCAGCGGCGCUGUCCUGCAGCAACCAACACCAUCCUUCAGUUGAG